rnacentral:lncRNA from 1 species
UAACUGUGUUCUGGCUUCUCAAGGAGGUCCCAGGUCCAUGCUAGGCUGUCUGGCUAACAUAGUGAUGACUUCCUAAUGAAGGUGUUUACAAAGACAGUUGAGUCAGAUUAUAAAAGUGAACAAUGACUAGUUCUUCAACUUUUGAAGCGCUGCUAUGAAGUAGGUAUUUUGCCUACUUAAACAGCCACAAGAUCCAUGACUGGAGUACUCAGUCUGCUCAUCACGCAGCAAAUCGGUGACAGAGCUGGAAAGCAAACCUUGACAUUCUCCACUUCUCCGUGGUGCCAAGUAAGACAGCACAGGCAAGGAAGCUAUGAACACCUUUUACAAAACAAGGAAAGAAAGAAUCAAGAAUUAAUGUGAAGAGGAAAAAAAAAACCACCCUGAACACACUGAAGGAAAAGACUAACCAGAUUAUUCGAGUGCCUGACGUUUAAAUUAGAAUAUAAUGGUUUAAUACUCCUGAAGACCAGACUAUUGUUUCUUUAACAGAUUUCCCCUUGGAUGAGCAAUUGUGAAGCCAGCUUGUCCAGAGGAAUAAGUUGUCAUUCCACCAGAUGAGCAAACAUCAUUGAUUUUAAUGUGUGAUAGAAACAAAUACCAAGGAGAUUCUUCUCCCUGUGCUCCACGUGUAUACAAUUCAGUGGAAAACAAUACCCACUUCUUGUUAAAGGUUCCAGCAAAAGCAUUAAGUGAGAGGUGUUAAAGGAGAGUCCAGUAUUAGAUCAGGGUUUAUUCUCCAGGCCCACUGAGCCUGACUGAUAUUCUCUUACUCAGAGAAAAUGCCGAGUUAUGCAACAUGGAACACUAAGGAAAGGCUAAGGAGAAGACAGAUUCCAGUCCUUAUGGAUUUGGGGGUAAGAUAGUCUGGAAUUCUACAAUGUUACCAGCUGGAAAAAAAAACUUUCAGGGAAGCACAAGGUGACAACUGGAGACAACUGAACUGGACCUUGUCUUUAGCAUCCAGCCUCAACUUCCUCUAAACCUCAAGUAUCCCCUUAAAGAGAGUUGACUUUGGAUUCUUGUCAGUGAUGACCUUUGAUCAUAUGCAAGAAGCAUCCUAGGUAGAGAGAUGCAGCAAAGCAAUAGACCUAUUCCACGGCAUCCUCCCCAAAUAUAUGGGGCAUACUAUAGUCAUUAAUAAUUUCUACAGAACAAACACUCACAUGUUUUAUUUCCAAUUGCCAUGGCUUUAGGUUUGUGGCCUUCUGUGUUCAUCUGGUUAAUGAGUAAACAUCAAAUAAAUAUUUAUACAAUUCCCUGAAUAAUGUUCA